ensembl:lncRNA
CGGUCCACCUUCCUUAGCAACGCGUCAGAGAAUUACAAACCGCUUGUUAGCCUCAGGGGCCGGGGCGGGGCGGGGGGAGCGAAGUGGGCGCGCUCUAGUGCACGCGCGCCUACACAAAAUGCAUGAGGAGUGAGUUCCUCUAUUUGAGCUGGGGGACCCGAAGAAAGUGUGUAUGGGGCAGUUGGGAAUGGAAUGCGCAGGUGCCCGUCAGAAAAACAGAAACACAAUGAACACAAGCACACUGUCUCUCAAAAACUGCAGGGUCAGAAUCAAGAGGUCCCUAGAACAGACGACACGACGAUGGUCACACGAAUGUUUUCAAAUUCGCACUACUCCAAAGUCACUAGACCUCAGAGUCUCUCGACCCGCUAGACUCCCUACCCCAAAUUCCACCGCAGAAAUCUUCCACACUCGAUCACCCAAGGGCACUUCUUCUUCUCUGACUGCCGCCAGGAGCUUCAGGCUCAGGCUGGCCCAUCUCUUCUCGUCACGGUGCCCAGAUCUUUUCCCAACUUCAUCCCACUGAAGCCCAGUCCCAGGUGGGGCCGGGAUCAGACGGAACUAAACGGACUCAGCGGUGCUUCCUUCACGGACCAUACACCAUAACGCCGAGAACCCGAAUAUACAGCCAACUGCACGCAGCAAGCGAAUUUUUGCAGAAAAUAGAUUUGGACCGAGGAGGCCUCUGGGAAAUGUAGUUCUGGGCAGCAAAACCGCAGACCUUUUCAGAUUCUCCUCAGCACCAAGUAAGCACUCCCAGGCUCCGAGUGUCAGACUCAUGGGAGGCAGCUGCUGCAAAACUCUCAGCUGAGGUCCCUCGGCAGAUCUGAGAGCCCCUCCACGGUGCGGUGGGUCAUUCCGGUUACCCCGACAACGGGAGGGCCAGUCCCUCCUCGGCGAGCCGCGGGGGCCUCUGGGAAGAGUUAGCUGCGUCUAACGGACCUGGGCUGGUGCUGCCCACCGCCACAGUCGGCGCUGACCUGAGCGGCACCCCUCACUCGGGCCGCACCGGCUGUGCCUUUCGGGCGGUGUUGAGGUGUGGAACUGGGGCCUGUGUCUGCGGGAUCGUUGGUGAGUCUUCGGGAAGCCACGAGCUCAGAGUCCGGGACUCUUUGUGCUGGGUGGAGCAGGGGCCUGCGGCCCACCGGGUGCCUGUGUUGUUGGAGGAGGACGCCUGGCAGGGGCGGCGGGUUCCCUGAGGCCGUGGGAGUGGAGGGUGAAAAACUGAGCGUGUGACUCGAUAGCACUUUAUUUUCCAGACAUUUGUCCGUGACUCAUGUGGCCGUGGAGUCGAGUGUGUAGGCGGAUUUUGUGGAUGUGUUUUUUCCUUUUCUAUUUCCAUAUAAAUGUGGCUUCGAACUACGAAGCCUGUUUGUGAUUUGUAAGACUGUACCAGUGCUUCGUUUCUUUGGUUAUGGUCAUCGUAAAUAUGUUUUUCUCUUAGACGUCAGUAGCCCCAACACGUUGUUUUAGUAUUUGUUUCAAAUUUUAUUUUCGUGUAUUCGCCACAUUUUGUGUGCUUAGUAAUAACUUCAUGCUCCUUGCCCCCCACUCCCAGCCCCAAUUCACAAAAUAAAGAAAAGCUCCAAGAAAACAAGAAUCAUUCAUACUUCUGCCAGCCACUAUCAAACUUUAUUUCCCAUCUUUUCAUUCCCCGUGAAUAUAUUAUAUAUAUAUGCACAGUAGCUUGAAAGUUGGAAUCACACUGUACAUACAAUUGUGUAGUCUACCUAUGGCGUUUAACAAUGUGCAAUUAAUACUUUUACAUUUAAACAAUUACACAUCUAUGUCAUCAUUUAACAGGUUUUUUAUGGUAUACAUAUUAAUGCAUUUACUCUUGUUGAUGGGUACUUUGGUUCUUUUCAACUUCUUGCCAUUGUAAAGAAUGUGUUUAUUAGCAACUGUUUGGCACAUGUUAUGAUGCACUUUAUUAAUUUUCGGGGGGCAGGGGGCAGGUUCUUAGAAGUGGAACUGAUCAGUUGAAGUGUAUGUGCUUAUUAAAAACUACCUGUGUUUGUGCUAAGUCACUUCAGUCAUUUCAUGACUCUGUGCAAUCCUUUGGACUGCAGCCUGCCAGGCUCCUCUGCCCAUGGAUUCUCCAGGCAAGAAUUACUGGAGUGGGUUACCAUGCCCUCCUCCCCCUGUGGGUCUUCCCAACCUAGGGAUCGAACCUGUGUCUCUUAGUUCUACCUGCACUGGCUGGUGGAUUCUUUACCACUAGCACCACCUGGGAAGUCCAAAGACUCCCUAAUUCUAUCCAAUAUUCUCUGGUAAGGUUCCAUCUGGUCAAGGCUAUGGUUUUUCCAGUGGUCAUGUAUGGAUGUGAGAGUUGGACUGUGAAGAAAGCUGAGCGCCCAAAAAUUGAUGCUUUUGAACUGUGGUGUUGGAGAAGAGUCUUGAGAGUCCCUUGGACUGCAAGGAGAUCCAACCAGUCCAUCCUGAAGGAGAUAAGUCCUGGGUGUUCACUGGAAGGACUGAUGCUGAAGCUGAAACUCCAAUACUUUG